AACGCACCUUGCGCCCCUCGGUAUUCCGAGGGGCAUGCCUGUUUGAGUGUCAUUAAACCUUCAACCCCACCGGCCUUGUCGCGUGGGGCUUGGACUUGGGGUGUGCUGGCGAUUUACGUCGGCUCCCCUUUAAAUGCAUCAGUGAAGAGGGUGCUCGACCAUUUUCCUUUCUCCGGAAGGUGAUGGCCCGUUCGGUGUGAUAAUCCUGUUGCGCCGUCGGACUGGGGUCGAGUUCCGCUUUGCUUCCAACGGUCCCUCGUGGACGACGCCAUUCGAAUUUGACCUCAAAUCAGGUAGGACUACCCGCUGAACUUAA
rnacentral:misc_RNA from 2 species